UAUUUCACUGAGCAUAAUACCCUCCAGCUCCAUCCAUGUUGUUGCAAAUGGUUGGGAAAAUGUGUCCCAGACUUGCACACUCAGGUGGAUUUGCAGAGGGCUGGAGGUACCAUAGAGGAGCCACUCUCAGAAUUGCCGAUUGGUGACUGAGGUCACUUUCAAUAAAGACAAACAGUGCUCAAAGCCAAGAAGUUCUCUUGACUUGUCAAAACUCUUAAGAAUGCCUCUCAUAGCCUCCUGGGCUUGAGCCGUACCUCAGAAAUUACUGAGAUGCAAAUUAUUUGAUCUGCCUGUUUGCACAAGAGAUCCUUGCCAUGCUUCAGGGCCUGCCCGACACAAUCAUGGCGUAAUUACAGGAUCGCUCUGGGGACUUGCUGCAAUUAAGCAAACUGCUUCUCAGUUAUCAUUUUAUUAUCCAUAUUUAUGGCAUUUGACAUUUUCGUGGUGCUCUUUAAUCACACUCUGUGUGGGUUGCCUUAUCCUAAGUCAACAUACGUGGGAUACCGGCUGUUCUCGUAUGUUCUCUGGCUCUUCCACAUGGAGACACAAAGCGUGGACGACUGUCUGAUGACCGCACCUGAGAGCCGCAGUCCCAGGUCACCACGGUGGGUCAGUGGAGGUCAACAUUUGCACCAAAGCAAAGGCCGGCUGGUGAGAUUGGGUAGGUCAACGGGAUGCUGAGACCCUGCGCUAACUAACGGCAGAAACACACUGUCUUCAGUUCAAAGGCCGAAGGACUGGACUUGCCCAGCCAGAGCAGUGGAACCUCUGGGGCUGGGGUCCUGGCAGCCACCAGGACAUCAAGCCAGGAGCUGCCGCAAUGCUUCUGCCACCAUUUCAGCUGAGGUGACUUUCUGCUCCUUUUCCCGGGUUGAAGUGGUCUCUGCUCUCUAGAAGGCAGUUCUCCCUCCUGACUGGACAGUGGAGCUCCGGCUGGGGAAGGAAGGGCUGCCUGAAGCUGGGACCCUGAAUAUAAGACCCCUUUGCUCCCCUGCUGGGUCCCGCCACGGUUCGAGCACGGGCCCUGGCUGCCGAGGUCUGACGACAUUUCCUUUCUGUCUCUGAAUGGGAACUAUCACCCCACGGAAGUACCGAUGUCAAUCACAACAGAUCUUCACAUCCUGUCUGCUUGCUGUGCAUAGUUAUGCGUGUAGAUGUGUGAUGUCCUUGCCCAGCCGUCCCCCACAGCUGUGGCAGAAUCGAUUUGAAAAUGAUCUGCCCCCGUCGUCCCACAUCUGAUUCACUGAGAACACAACCGCCCCCUCACAACCAUCCGAGAUUCCUUUCUUUGUAAAUCAUAAAUCUUGUCCCUGUAUUUGUAGAUCCGGAAAUUACCUGUCUACAAAGCUGGGUUUGUUAGAAAUGUUUUUGCACCAAAUAUGAAACCAAAGAAUGUUAAAUUGCUUUUUUCUUCUUCUGAUUUAAUGGUGAACGUGGUGCUUAUGUUUUGCUUUCUCUAAUUAGAUGAGUAAUUUAAAGAAGAGCAACCUGUCCUGAGAUGCCCUCCUAAAAUUCAGUGUCUCUUCAAGCACAGGAGUUGUUUCGUGAAUGUCAUUACUCAGCGAAGGUCUUUUUCAACGAACGGCUUUCCGGAACCCCAGCUGGGUGCUUGCUGCGGCUCAUCCUACGGUCACACGUUGUUGCCUACUCCAAGGCAGUGCUCUGCUCCAGACCUCAGCUGUCCAUGCUGGCCUGUCCAGUCCUCCCGCACCCACUUGCUCCCACAGAUGACCACACAUCCAGUUUACCAACUCGCUGCAAAGAGCUCCAACCUCCCUGCGUGGCCCCUCCCGCUCUGCCUGUCUCCAGCUUUCGCCUCUCCUCUGCAGCUGCCCUGGCAGGUGGGAUGCUGGCUUCGGCCACACCCGGUCCUCUCUGGGUACUUGGUGUUCUCCGCCGUCUCCCUUCUCUUCUUGCUGCAUUAGGCAUUCCUUCCUGAAACUUCAGUUUCCUCUCAUUUUCUCCUUCCCCUGCCUGUGGAAAUCACCAGGUCUCCUCUAUUUUAUAAAAGAAAUGCCCUCUCCUAAAAGCAAAAUAUAGCCAUAUCUUCCUUCUGCUAUUCACCAUUGAAUCUCUUUAAACCCAACACCAUGGCAGUGAGUUGAAUGGGGUCACCAAAAUUUGGUGACCCAAAACCUCGGCCCAGAACCUCGGAAUGGGACCUCAUUUGGAAAUGCAGUCACUGAAGAAUUAGUUCAUUAGGAAUCUCUAGAUAAAUCAUCAUGGGUUCAUGGCGGACCCUAAAUCCAAUGACUGGCGUCUUUACAAGAGAAAGGGGUUGGAUAUUGGGAGAGACAGAAUGACACACAGACACAGGGAUGUCGUGUGAAGACAGAGGCAGGGCCUGGAGUCCCGAGGAAUGCCUGGGACCACCAGAAGCUGGGAGACACUUCCGCAGGAGCCUUCUGGCAAAGCGUGCCUCUGACGCGAGACUUCUAGCCUGCGGAGCUGGGAGAGAAUACUUGUCUGUUGUUUUAGGGUGCCCAGUCUGUGGCAGUCUGUAUGGCAGCCCUAAGAAAUCAACACUACCUAUUUCUUCCUCUUCUUACCAGAUGCUUGAUCAAGGUGAGGAGCUAAAAUUUUAUUGAGCACCUACUAUAGCGCAAGUUCCCCAUAAUAUAUCUCAUUUAGUUUCCAGUCUCUCAGAGAUAGGCUCCAUUUAUCCAAAUUUAUAUAGAUGAAGUAACUGGUUUAAAGUGACAAAGUGGAGAUCGUGCAGCUAGCAAGCGGUAGGUGACGGUUCAGGGUCCACAGCCCAAACUCUCAGUCAUGACUGGCCACUGCCUGAUCCUAUGUCCUUUCAACUUGGAUCCGCUCGACUGAACAGUCUUCUUGAAAGACCACAGGGUUACCCCAGUAACCGGACCAAAUGCCUCCACCUCCCGCCCUGUAAUGUUUCGUGUGCUGACAUUUUCCCUCUAUGACUCUUCUUCUGGAUUCGAAAGGUACCAGCUCCUGCUCACACCUGCGUUCUUCACGGACGUCUUCACCGGCUCCUCGGAUUUCACAAUCCAAAAUGUGGCCAUUUCCCAAUGGGGGCGGCUUAGCUGUUUUCUGCCUUUGCACUGUCACCUACCCUCCUGGCUUCAGUCAUCACUUCUACCUCCAUGACUUCCCAAAAUAAAGCAAAAAUUCCUGUCUGUCGGGAGCAAGCUGCCCGUCGUAUGUGUCCUCUCCUGGCCCAGUCACCUCACACCUCACCCCUUUCAAACAGGCUUCCUCCUCCGGGUUCGCUCUGACUCCGCGACCGUAUCUUCCUGGUCACCAGGGCUCAUGGUUGCACUCGACCUUCCCACGGAGUCAGCUUCUGGGGCCACCGAUUGCGCAUCUCCACCUCUGCAGUCCCGUGCUCUCCUCCCCGGUGCUGCUAUCAGUGAUCGGGUCAGACUCUUUACCUCUCAUGUGGCUUGUUGCGACGACCACCCACCCACUCUGCCUUCCUUGUCCCUGUCUCUGAGCCGUCCUCCACACUACUGCGCUUAGUGCGCUUCUAACGUGUUAUUUCUCUUGGUAGAAAAUCCCAGAGGGCUCCUUGCUGCCUGGAAGAGGAGGUCAACGGGGCGACCCUCACAUUUCCUGAUUCCUCCAUAAUUUAGGCUCGACAUGUACAAUCUAAUUUCAUGUUACACCUUUUCACCCCUCCAAAGUAUUCCCUAGAAUGAUGCUUCCCGACUUUGUGUCUCUACUGUUCCCCCAAAUGUUUCAGAUAUGUUUUUCCCUUUACCGCUCCCAUGAGAUUCUAAUAGCACUGGAUGUAUUUAAUAGCACAGGGGUGUAUUUGUCAUGUGUCUGUGGUCUUUGGAGAGCCACAUGUGGUUGUGAUGUCUAAGAUGGUUUUGCACCCGCAAGAGCCAGUUUUCACAUCCUUGGACGUGACAAUCACUCCAGGUCAAGAAUUGGGAAUGUACGGCCUGGAACGGACAUGAACUUCGCAGUCAGAACCAGACUCGCACUUCUUCUCCGAGGUGUACAGUGGGUGUGGUGCUAGUGGAGUGGACCAACCCCUCUGGCCUUCCGAACACCCGGGCAGGCGGUGAGGCCUCCCUUACUGUGCCAUCGCGGACCAGCUCCUCCCGUGCCCCGUCCUGCUUCCCUUUUCUCCCUCCCACAGGUGCUGAUCCCAAGAGCCCCUGAUAAACUGCACACAUGCUCAUCCCCAUCACAGAGUUCGCUUCUUGGGGAACACGACCCGUGGCAAUGCCCUGCUUACUGCCUGGCACAGAGGUAGGGCAACACAAAUGUGAGCUCUCUCCCUCUCGGUUCUGGCCGGCUUCGUGGGUUACCUCUCACCCCACCUGUCUCUACAUGUUCCGGAUACUUUGUCUUGCUCAAACUCACCUUCUCCUUGGAGCCGUUCCUGAUGGCCCGCUUUCCCAGGGGUGGAGCAUGACUGCUUCCUGGAUGUUCAACAUCUGCCAUCCACCCCUGUUAGCACUUUGGUUGCGGUGUGGCGAAGAACAGGAACAGAAUGGUUGCUCAGUGAAUAAGCAAGUUCUGCCUGUCCGGCAGGGCAUCCUCCUGCUGUUGGAAGCCGGGUCCACCCUCCUGGUGCCCAUCCCAGAUCAGAGAAUGUGCAUGGCUUCCAGGCUCCAGGCUCCAGCCCACGUUUUUUAUGAUGCCCCAGAAAACCCAUUUACCUGGGCAGCACAAAGUUCCCAUUUUGUUAGGGACCACGCCAUGAAGGUUCCAAACGCUAGGAGUUCAUCCUUAGUUGGUGGCCCACUACUUCAACGGAUUUUGAAAAAAUCAACAGGAUAAAGAAUAAGAAGAUAGUAUCAGACUUAAUCACAAGACGGUAAUUUAUGGUCUUCAAGGAAGCAGCCUGGAGACUUUGGCAGUGACCCCGAACUGGAAUCAGAAUUCCCUGGGGAGUUUCUAAUAGUGACGCCUGUGUCCUUCCACCAGAGAUUGUGACUCACUGGACUGGGUGUGACCUGGGCCUUGGAAGCUUUAAAAGAUACUCAGAUAGUUUUAAUGCACAGACAUGUUUGGGAAUCACUGGGGUUGUGGGGUAUUUGAUAUGGAUAAAGUGGGGGUAGUGAGUAUAGACCACCCUUCUCAAAGGCUUGGCAGUGAAGGGAGAAAGGCGUAUAGAAGCUCAAGUAGGUAGGAAGGCACCCGGAAGGUAAGGGUUGUUUAAAAAAUGGGGAAACUUGGGAAUCCUGCCAGGUAAAGGGAAGAAUUCAGGGACCAGUAGAGACUGAAGCUGAUAGAGCGAGAAGUUUCUAGAAUAAUCCUGGGAGGCGACAGAUCAAUGGCACCAGUGCAGGGGUUUGUUUAUCUUAGGAGGGGAAACAGUGUUCUUUGCACUGUUCUCUUUGCUUAGAAUGACUCAUCCCUUCAAAGCCUGGCUCUGAGCAGGCCCCACAAUGGAAAGAAUCAUCCCAUAUUCUCAGAGUACUUUUAGGAUUUCUCGUAUCAGGAGAGUGAUGUAGUGAUUGCAAAAGUCAUUUUUGUAAAGGUCUUUCUCCCUGCAGGCAGGACCAUGCCUUCUGCAACUUUGUGACCCCUUUGUAAGCCCUGUGCGGUUCCUGGAAAAUAAGUAUUUCACCAGGUACUGGAUAAAUCAACAUACCGCCCCUGACUUGAAUGUCACCUUUACCGUAUGUGUCAUGAACAGCUGGGCCAUUUGCGCUUCUUUGUCUGGUCUGGUGCUGGCAUUGCUGUUUUUUGGAGUAGGUAUUUAAUGUUUGUUAUUGUAAAUUCCCUGAAAUAACGCUACAGAUUAACCAUUCAUGUUUUAAUGUGUAACUAUCAGAAUUUCUGAAUGAACUUAAAAAUUGAGGCCAUAUUUUCCCUUAUCACCUUGAAAUUAGAUUUGCAACAGCCUAUAAAACUCCGUUCCUUUCCACUUCCCACGUUAAAAUAUUACUUAUUUCACCUAGUUGUCAAAUCUUUGCACACUUAGAAAAAGCGACUAGAAAUGACCAUAAAUCUAAUUCCGAUCACCUGACACACGUUUGGAGUUCCCAUCACGCGCUAGGACAUAAUGUCCGGUGCUGAUCGCACAGCAAAAGACAAGAUGAGCGUUCCUUUCAAAAACAAGCUGUCCCUAUCUUUCAGGAGCUUUCCAAGCCCAAACUCUGGGAUCGACUUCAGAGCCUCUGGGACUCCUGUUAAGAAUCCGUGAGUAGGGGAUAGGAUGAGACCGAUAAGCAAUGCAGGGUUGAAGACACAGUCACCGCGCCAGUGGACGGAGCAGGGAAAAAGCGCCUGUGUGGGAGGCUGCUGUUGACUUUCUGUCCACCCUUAUCUCUCAGGGUGCUUGCUCGGCAUUUCCUGCAUCUCUGUGCUCUCCCCAGCUGGGCUCGGCGGCCUCAUUUACAACACUUUUGAUAAGAGCCCUCAGGCCGAGAAAGGUUCUAGGAAAAGGGAUUCCGUCUCCAAAAGCUUUGAGUUGCCUGGCAGGCCCCUUACCCGAGUUUCCACCCGCACAGGUGCCCUGGCAGCGCCUCCAAGUGCCAUUUCUGCAACCUUCAAACUUGUAAGAUUUUAUUUUCUUCACAUUCCAGAUAUGUUGGUUUAAUAGCUAUCUCCUAUUAAAAAUCUAUCCCAUCUUUAGCUUUAUCAUAGCUUACUGCUUAACGAGCAGGAUUUAGGGAUAACUGGUCCGCUGUUGAGCAACCGAACAGUCUCUGUCCUUAUUGAGAAAGCGGUUAAGAACAACACGCAUCUGCUUUUGAUUCCUGAAUCAGAUUCCUAAUCCCCGCAUUAGGCUACAGGAAGCAAAACGCCCAACUACAGGGACAUAAAGGGACUUACUUUUCUCACAUAACACCAAGCCACAAAGGCGACGGGGCAGCUCUCCCACACGCCGUGAAGGGCCCAGACUCAUCUUUCUCCACCAUCUCCAGCCAUGAGAUUCGCUCCCAUGGUCGCAAGGUGGCUGCCUUAGCUCACAUGACAAUGCCUGCGACCCCCGUGCGAACGAAGGGGACCUUGCAGAUGAGGCUGCCACUGUUCAGUCUUCUCAGAAGCUUCCCCCAAGUUCUCUGUGUAGAGACCACUGGCCGGAACUGCGUCGCGUGGCUGCCCUCUAAGCAGAGGAGGUGGGGGACUGUGCAUCCUGACUGGGGGCACCGUCACCCAGAACCAAAUCUGGGCUCUGUUAGUAGGAAAGUGGGGAGAAUGUCAGUUCCUUAGCCAGAGGAUGUGUGCAGCCUGCUCACGCAGUGACCCUGCUGUCAGCUUUGAGCCCCUCUGCUCUUGAAGGAGGCCUUUACUCCUACAGUCCUGCCCAAACCAGAGGGAACAGGCUCUGUCUCGAUACAGUCACCAAACUACCCAUUCAUUCUUUAGUUUAUCGAUUUAGUCAAUGCUUUACUGGACAUCUUCUCUAUGUCAGGCAUGGGAGACAUAGAGGUUCCCAAAUAGACCUGCUCCUUGCCUUCACAGAACACCCACUUCUCAACUUAAAAAAAAAAAAGGAAAAGUUUAACAGGGCAGUGUAUCUUAGAUUUCUUUUUUUACCUUCCGUCUUAACCAGAUUCAGUUUUUAAGCAUGAGUGCCCUUCUCUCACGGUCAAUUAAAAAAAACGGA